UCGGAGUGUAGCACAGCUUGGUAGUGCACCUGGUUUGGGACCAGGGGGUCGAAGGUUCGAAUCCUUUCACUCCGACCAU
rnacentral:tRNA from 1 species